AGCUUUGUCCAGUGGCAGUAUUGUAGCCAGUAAGAUUUAUCCAAGACCUUGUGAUUAUUGUUAAUUGAAAACUUUUCCCAAUACCCCACCAUGACGACUUGAGAUACAGUCAGCAUUGGCAAUUUUGACAGUCUCUAUGGAGG
ensembl:snRNA U4 U4 spliceosomal RNA